rnacentral:lncRNA from 1 species
GUUGGUUUAACUAAACAUUUUCUUUUAAAUUAACAUAAAAUUCACCUUUCAAUGACUUCAAAAUUUUUUAAUUUCCUGCCUGAUUUCAAUGAUGAGAUGCAUUUAAUGCAUUUCAAUCUAUUCCCCAGCAGGCAUCCCAGCCUGAUGAGUACCGUAUUAGCAAACUGUUGCUUCCCACUGGGACCUAAUGUCAUUCACCGACAGAGCCGUGAAGCUGCCUGGGCUUUUUGCACACUGCUUGGAAAAUGGUCGAUUUCCCAGAUGAUUCAAAAUAUCAUUCUCAUAAUCACAGAAUUUGAGAGUGAGAAGGGACCCCAGCAGCCAUCUCAUCCAACUUAUAUAGACAGAUCCAGACUAGGAUUUUGUUGGUAUCAGAGGAAAAGAAGUGAUGUAUGCAAGAGAUUCUACAAAGGUAAAAUCAAUAGGACUUGGCAUCAACAAGUUAUCAGUCGGGUCAUCACCUGGAUUAUCAGCAUGGACUCCAUUCAUGUGGGCCUUCCAGAUGCUUCAAAGGACAAUCAGUGUAGAGGUGCUGAAUGGAAAGUCACACCUGACCACCUUCCAGUAGAGAUUUUCUCAAGUUUGAUGCUGAUUGGCUGCUAAUUUAUAGAAUGACUGGUUUUGUACAGUAUGGCCUGGAAGCCUGUGAAUAAGUUCCAGUUUCUCAGCAUAGUUAUUCAGAAU